CCCAUCUACUAAUGCAGUUCUGAGAUGAUAAAUCGAAGAUGGGUAUAUGAUACUAUAUUGAUUGGCUUUAGUCCAAGUGAGAGUUGUUGGGAAUUAUAUCCUAAAAUCAAUUGCUUGACGAUUGUGCUAAUUAUAAAUAUAUAUGAAUUGAUAAAUGAUAAAAGUUAUUUGAUAUUUUUUAUCAUGAGAUUAUAUUUUCUAACA
rnacentral:lncRNA from 1 species